rnacentral:rRNA from 1 species
CAGCUGCGGUAUUAUAACUGUACUAAGGUAGCAUAAUAAUUUGCCUUAUAAAUUGGGGCUAGAAUGAAUGGUUUGACGAGAAUUUAACUGUCUCUAUUUUAUUUAUUAGAAAUUAAUUUUUAUAGUGAAAAAGCUUUAAUUAUUUAAAGGGACGAAAANGACCCUAUUGAGCUUUUGUUAUUGUAUAGAUAUAUAUAUAUAUAUAUA